AAAGUUAUAAUUCACAUGCUUGAAAACAUAUGAAUGGUGAUGUUUGAUCAGACCAAAGCUUCAUGAGAACCACCACUCCUCUUAAUAUUCCUCCAGCAACAGCAAGAGUAUCCCUCUGGGCAGCUAAACCAGGCAACCCCAACUGGAUGGCCUCCAAGGGCAAAUCAAGAAUGGGCUACUUGGAAGUCCCUAAAUAGACUCAGAAGCAGAGUGGGCAGAUCAAAAGACCAUUUGUCAAGAUGGCACUACCUGGAGGAAUCCUCCACCUUGUGUGACUGUGGGGCAGAACAAACAACUCCUCAUGAGUAUGCUUGCCCACAAUGUCCUGCCUCAUGUACGGAGGAGGAGUUGUUUAAAACUAUGGACAGUGCGGUCGCUGUUGCCCGCUUUUGGUCUAAAACUAUUUAGCUGCUUGUGAUUCCUUUAUUUUAUCACUUUUAAGCUUAUUUAUUAUGCAAUGCUUUUGACACAAAAUAAAUAAAUAAAUAAAUAAAUAAAAUCAGACCAAAUGUUUACUUCAGCAUUUUGUCCCCACAAUGGCCAACCAGAAAAGAAUGGAAGAUAACAAGAGGACCGUGAGGAUGAUAACACCCUCCAAUUCACACUUCCCAGGAAUUAAUAUUUAGAUAGCUUCUGAGAUUAGAAAUAUGUGAUCAUCAUUCCUGAACUGGUGAUAUAAAUUUACACUGAUAUGAAUUGGAGGAGAGGGGGGAUUUCCUUAGGAAAGCAUUUCUAACAGGGGGGAUGUGUUCUGAGAGAGCUGAAGGAUCUAGGGAUUACCCCUUCUGAUGUUACGGAGGAUGUGUUCAGACUGUCACAUUAAGCGUGAUAGUUUAAGCAUCAACCACAGUUGUAGAGAGUCUGCCAGACAAAUAAAAAGCACCAAGUCUAAGAAAUGAGGAAUAAAUACACAUACUGAUUUUGCAAGACAGUAUUCUCUCCCUGAAAAUCCUCUACCUCUCUUUGGUGAACAGGAGCUGGUAUUGGGGUGUGUGUGUUGCAGGGCCUGGAAAUCAACUACAGUACAACCACACCCUCUUCAUUUUCAAGUAAUAUUUUAUUUAACAGCUAUUUCCAGGAGCUCAUCUUGUCUUCUGUUGUCUUCUGCGAACAGACAAUUUUCCCAGAACCACACAGUAACAGCUAUGUUCACUGGCUUGCUUCUCUAAUGCUUUAUUCAGAACAGAUUUUUCCAAGGAGAUGCCAAUGUUGCAAACUAUUAACUAGCUUUGAACAGAGGGAAUUCAGAGCAAGCAUCAAACCUUUCAUGUAAAGAUGGAAAGUUUUUGACAAGAUGCUGAUGACCUGCUAUUCCAUGCAAGCACUGUAUCUUUUGACCUUGGUUGUAUUGAGUGUUGUUUAUCUAGACAGGGAUACUGAAAAGAAAUACAAACCCCACUUGUCUACUUUCCAGCAGAUCUCACAACCUCUGAGGAUGCCUGCCAUAGACGUGGGAGAUAAUACUUCUGGAACAUGGCCAUACAGCCUGGAAAACAUACAACAGCCCUGUGGUCCCGGUCAUGAAAGCCUUUGACAACUAAAAUGUUUUUAGGUCGAAUGUUUUUAGGUUGAAUGUUUUUAUGUUGAAUGUUUUUAUAUUGUGGAAUGAUAUUUUAAAUUGUAAGUCGCUCGGAGCACUCUGGUGGAGAGCGACUAAUUAAGAAAUAAAGUGAAGUGAAGUGAAGUGAAGUGAACUCAGUAAAGGUUGCUUGUCACUUCACUUCUGAAAUAUCCUUUUCUAUGCACAACCAUUAAAGAUGAGAACCAUGUCUCUUAUUUUCCUGGCAAUCCCAAUUCAGAAGCAUUAAGAGGAUGAAUACAACUAGUGAUAACAAUUUUGCUUGUCUUUGUUGAUUGAAUAAUCUUUCUUUGUCCUGGAGAAGAAAAGAGGUCAACAUCUGACCCUGUGGCUGUCAUUGAACUUCAUUUCCCAUGAUCCUUCACAUCUGGCUCAAUCUGAUGGAUGUUGCAGUCUAAACAACACCGGUUAGGCUAAAGCUUCUCUCCUCAAGUGUUUUCCAAACUAAAUGAUUGGGUGUCAACUCCCAUGAUUCCUAUCUAUUGACCAUCCUGUGUUGGGAUGAUGGGAAUUUAUGUCCUUUCUCUGCAAACCAAGUGGAAACCUCUGGGCUGUUGAAUGACAGAUGGUGGCAAAAGAGAUGGAGUUCAGGUGGUAGCCUUUAUGUGUAACAUAUACCACAAUGCUAAUGAUGCCAGGAAUUAAAUAGUAAUUAUGGUGAUUAUAAAUUGCAUUUUACAGUUCUGUGCCUCUUGGUGGUCUAAAUAAAAAUGCAACAGGGCUGGUUGUUUUAUGUCUCAAUCCCAUUUUUGACACUCUUCUCCCCAGGUGAGAUAUAUUUUCUUCCUUGGCCAGACAAAUCGCCUCAAGAAAAGGAAACUUGAUCACAUACAGGACCUUGGGAGCAAUGAUGGGGAGUAAUCACUUGGUGCACAGCCAUAUAUUUAUCCUCCUCUGCUGGCCUAGAUCCAGUCAGAAAUGUCAGGCUGUUCCACUGGAAUUGCUGCAGCGGGUGAUCAUUAUUCUACACACAGUGACUCAAGGUGAAACAGGAUCUUGCCAGAACAACAGAUGGAAAACACGGCAGAGGCCGUUCCACUCCGAUGAUGAGCUGCCUUUCCUUUAAAAAGGCUCUGGAGCAGCAGAAAGCAAGCUGACUUCAUCUUCUAUGAGACAUCCCAGCAGACAUUUAAAUAUUGGUAUCAUGUCAGAGUCAUGCAGUUUGAAAACAUGCAAAUGUGAGUAGAUUAAUAGGUACCAUUCUGGCGGGAAGGUAAUGGCACUUCAUGCAUGAUCCUUGUAGGAUCGCAUUACUUGCCUACUAAGCAAUAGACCCUCAGGUAUGCUUUCUCAGGAUUACACUUAGCAUUUUAAGUACUAUACCUGCUGUGUAAUUACCCCUCCCUGAUGACUUGACAUUUUUCUGCACCUUGCCCAGAUCUUUUGAUCAACUCAUGUUUUUAACAUGAUUUUGUAUAUUGACUUUUUAUGAUUGUUUUUAUCCAUGUUGAUGUUUUAUUGUUGGGUGAUUUGUUUAUUGCUUUUGUUUUGAUUUUUGCUGUUGUGUCCAGGCAUAAUAAUAAUAAUAAUAAUAAUAAUAAUAAUAAUAAUAAUAAUAAUAAUACUUUAUUUAUACCCCGCCACCAUCUCCCCAGCGGGGACUUGGGGCAGCUAACAUGGGGCCAUGCCCAAAGCAUAGCCCCAUGUAAGCCGCCCCGAGUCCCUUCGGGGAAAUGGGGCGGGGUAUAAGAAUAAAGUUAUUAUUGUUAUUAUAUUAUCAUGCUGGCCACAUGACCUUGGAGAUGUCUAUGGACAACGCCAUCUUCGCAGCUUAGAAAUGGAGAUGAGCACCAACCCCCAGAGUCGGACACGUGUCAGGGGAAAAGCUUUACCUUUACCUUAUCAUGUCACCUCUCAGUCUUUUCUCCAUGCUAAAUAUACCCAGAUUGCUCAGCCACUCCUCAUAGGGCUUGGCUUCAAACCUUUGAUUAUUUUGGUCGCUCACCUCUGGACAUGUUCCAGCUUCUUCCAGCUAUGGUGCCCAGAAGUCCACACAGUUUUCCAGGAGGAAAAAGAAUACAGUGAUACCACUAAUCCCCUUGAUCUGGAUGCUAUAUUCUUGUUGAUUGCUUGGAGCUGAGCAGGACUGCAGCCAGAAAUUUUGAAUUGAAAAUGGUCUGAAUGUAACAAACAAUGUGUAGAACAAUUAUCUGCUUUACUCAUUAUUAAUUUGCUUUACUAUUGCUGUUAUAUCUUUCACCUUGUGAAUCAUUCAGCUCCAAGGAACUCUAGACAGUAUGAAUAGAGACGAUUAUGACUGGUUUUGGUCCAAAAUAUCCACAACAUGUCAGGUUCCUUGUUUAUGAUCUAAAUGAACAUUUCAUCCAAGUUCUAAAAAUGAUGUUGUCUAACAUUUUUCAGUAACAUGCAUAGAAUCACAAAGCUAUUUGUAAAAAUAAUUAUAAUACUUGGAUGCUUUUUUAAAAAAGAAAGUCAGGGGAUUUUACAGUUAAAUCAUACAGAUGUUAAAACCAAUUAAAAACCUACAAUAUGAAACAAUAUCUUCUCCCACCAGACAGACAGUCAGACAGAUAGACUGAUUUCUAACUUGAAAGAAAUGAACACAGACUUUGGGCUCUAGUUUUUUUUCUUUUAAGCUUAGGAAAUAUAUUGUUUACUUACUCUGAAUGAUUUUGCCCACUUAUAAUACAUGGAAUUACAUCCUGUCAGCAUGGAUUUAAUUUAAGCUUAAUAAGACAUUUCUUCCACAUACUGUUAGCCAAAAUGUCACAUGGUUACUUGGGAGGAAAAGUCUAACUGUAUUGCUGCGAGCUAAUUUUACAGGAUGUUGUGAAACCUGAGUAAAUGUUCCUCACUGUUAUUUAACAUACAGCAAUGCUCACCAUGUCAUAAACUUUUUAAUGUAUUAAA